UACGAAGGGGGCUAGCGUUGCUCGGAUUGACUGGGCGUAAAGGGCGCGUAGGCGGUUCGUACAGUCAGACGUGAAAUUCCUGGGCUCAACCUGGGGGCUGCGUUUGAUACGUGCGGACUUGAGUGCGGAAGAGGGUCGUGGAAUUCCCAGUGUAGAGGUGAAAUUCGUAGAUAUCGGGAGGAACACCUGUGGCGAAAGCGGCGCACUGGACCAUAACUGACGCUGAUGCGCGAAAGCUAGGGGAGCAAACAGG
rnacentral:rRNA from 1 species